CACUUGGAAACAGGUGCUAAUACCGUAUAACAAUCAAAACCGCAUGGUUUUGAUUUGAAAGGCGCUUUCGGGUGUCGCUGAUGGAUGGACCCGCGGUGCAUUAGCUAGUUGGUGAGGUAACGGCUCACCAAGGCCACGAUGCAUAGCCGACCUGAGAGGGUGAUCGGCCACAUUGGGACUGAGACACGGCCCAAACUCCUACGGGAGGCAGCAGUAGGGAAUCUUCGGCAAUGGACGAAAGUCUGACCGAGCAACGCCGCGUGAGUGAAGAAGGUUUUCGGAUCGUAAAACUCUGUUGUUAGAGAAGAACAAGGAUGAGAGUAACUGUUCAUCCCUUGACGGUAUCUAACCAGAAAGCCACGGCUAACUACGUGCCAGCAGCCGCGGUAAUACGUAGGUGGCAAGCGUUGUCCGGAUUUAUUGGGCGUAAAGCGAGCGCAGGCGGUUUCUUAAGUCUGAUGUGAAAGCCCCCGGCUCAACCGGGGAGGGUCAUUGGAAACUGGGAGACUUGAGUGCAGAAGAGGAGAGUGGAAUUCCAUGUGUAGCGGUGAAAUGCGUAGAUAUAUGGAGGAACACCAGUGGCGAAGGCGGCUCUCUGGUCUGUAACUGACGCUGAGGCUCGAAAGCGUGGGGAGCAAACAGGAUUAGAUACCCUGGUAGUCCACGCCGUAAACGAUGAGUGCUAAGUGUUGGAGGGUUUCCGCCCUUCAGUGCUGCAGCUAACGCAUUAAGCACUCCGCCUGGGGAGUACGACCGCAAGGUUGAAACUCAAAGGAAUUGACGGGGGCCCGCACAAGCGGUGGAGCAUGUGGUUUAAUUCGAAGCAACGCGAAGAACCUUACCAGGUCUUGACAUCCUUUGACCACUCUAGAGAUAGAGCUUCCCCUUCGGGGGGCAAAGUGACAGGUGGUGCAUGGUUGUCGUCAGCUCGUGUCGUGAGAUGUUGGGUUAAGUCCCGCAACGAGCGCAACCCUUAUUGUUAGUUGCCAUCAUUCAGUUG
rnacentral:rRNA from 1 species